UACGAAGGGGGCUAGCGUUGCUCGGAAUUACUGGGCGUAAAGGGCGCGUAGGCGGAUAGUUUAGUCAGAGGUGAAAGCCCAGGGCUCAACCUUGGAAUUGCCUUUGAUACUGGCUAUCUUGAGUUCGGGAGAGGUGAGUGGAAUGCCGAGUGUAGAGGUGAAAUUCGUAGAUAUUCGCAAGAACACCAGUGGCGAAGGCGGCUCACUGGUCCGGUACUGACGCUGAGGUGCGAAAGCGUGGGGAGCAAACA
rnacentral:rRNA from 1 species